GUUAAGCGACUAAGCGUACACGGUGGAUGCCCUGGCAGUCAGAGGCGAUGAAGGACGUGCUAAUCUGCGAUAAGCGUCGGUAAGGUGAUAUGAACCGUUAUAACCGGCGAUUUCCGAAUGGGGAAACCCAGUGUGUUUCGACACACUAUCAUUAACUGAAUCCAUAGGUUAAUGAGGCGAACCGGGGGAACUGAAACAUCUAAGUACCCCGAGGAAAAGAAAUCAACCGAGAUUCCCCCAGUAGCGGCGAGCGAACGGGGAGCAGCCCAGAGCCUGAAUCAGUGUGUGUGUUAGUGGAAGCGUCUGGAAAGGCGCGCGAUACAGGGUGACAGCCCCGUACACAAAAAUGCACAUGCUGUGAGCUCGAUGAGUAGGGCGGGACACGUGGUAUCCUGUCUGAAUAUGGGGGGACCAUCCUC
rnacentral:rRNA from 1 species